ACCAGUUUGGCUCAGUGGAUAGAGCAUCAGCCUGCAGACUGAAAGGUCCCAGGUUCGAUCCCAGGAAAGGGCA
rnacentral:tRNA from 1 species